UACGUAGGGUGCAAGCGUUGUCCGGAAUUAUUGGGCGUAAAGAGCUCGUAGGCGGUCCGUCACGUCGGCUGUGAAAACCUGGGGCUCAACCCCGGGCCUGCAGCCGAUACGGGCGGACUAGAAUUCAGUAGGGGAGACUGGAAUUCCUGGUGUAGCGGUGAAAUGCGCAGAUAUCAGGAGGAACACCAGUGGCGAAGGCGGUGCUCUGGGCCGGUACUGACGCUGAGGUGCGAAAGCGUGGGGAGCAAACAGG
rnacentral:rRNA from 1 species